rnacentral:rRNA from 1 species
GGCGGCGCGCUUAACACAUGCAAGUCGAGCGAGAACCAGGCCUUCGGGCCUGGGGACAGCGGCGAACGGGUGAGUAACACGUGGGUAAUCAACCCUCGAUACUGGGAUAGCCCGGGGAAACCCGGAUUAAUACCGGAUGGCCCUUUGGAUCCUCGGAUCUGAAGGAAAAGGUAGCUUCGGCCUCCGAUCGAGGACGAGCCCGCGGCGGAUUAGCUUGUUGGUGAGGUAACGGCCCACCAAGGCGACGAUCCGUAGCUGGUCUGAGAGGACGAUCAGCCACACUGGGACUGAGACACGGCCCAGACUCCUACGGGAGGCAGCAGUGGGGAAUCUUGCGCUAAUGCGGGAAACCGUGACGCACCGACGCCGCGUGAGGGAANAAGGCUUCGGGUUGUAAACCUCUUUCAGGAGGGACGAANCCACUCGGGU